UACAUGUGGGGCAAGCGUUGUUCGGAAUCACUGGGCAUAAAGGGUGCGUAGGCGGCUUGUUAAGUCAGGGGUGAAAUCCCACGGCCCAACCGUGGAACUGCCUUUGAAACUGGCGAGCUUGAGUGCGUGAGGGGUAACCGGAACGAGUCGUGUAGCGGUGAAAUGCGUAGAUAUGACUCGGAAGGCCAAAGGCGAAGGCAGGUUACUGGUACGCAACUGACGCUGAUGCGCGAAAGCGUGGGGAGCAAACGGG
rnacentral:rRNA from 1 species